rnacentral:rRNA from 1 species
GUGCCAGCAGCCGCGGUAAUACGUAGGGGGCGAGCGUUGUCCGGAAUUACUGGGUGUAAAGGGCGUGUAGGCGGGGAUACAAGUUAACGGUAAAAACCCGAGGCUUAACCACGGGCCUGCCGUUAAAACUGUAUCUCUUGAGUGCAGGAGAGGAGAGUGGAAUUCCCGGAGUAGCGGUGAAAUGCGUAGAUACCGGGAGGAACACCUGUGGCGAAGGCGGCUCUCUGGCCUGCAACUGACGCUGAGGCGCGAAAGCUGGGGUAGCGAACGGGAUUAGAUACCCCGGUAGUCCCAGCCGUAAACGAUGGUCACUAGGUGUGGGCGGGUACAACCGUCCGUGCCGGAGCUAACGCAAUAAGUGACCCACCUGGGGAGUACGACCACAAGGUUGAAACUCAAAUGAAUUGACGG